rnacentral:rRNA from 1 species
AGAACGAACGCUGGCGGCACGCCUAACACAUGCAAGUCGAGCGCCCAGCAAUGGGAGCGGCGGACGAGUGAGUAACACGUGGGAACAUGCCUUUCGGUUCGGCACAACUCAGGGAAACUUGAGCUAAUUCCGGAUGCGCCCGUAAGGGGAAAGAUUUAUCGCCGAAAGAUUGGCCCGCGUAAGAUUAGCUAGUUGGUGAGGUAAUGGCUCACCAAGGCAACGAUCUUUAGCUGGUUUGAGAGAACGACCAGCCACGUUGGGACUGAGACACGGCCCAAACUCCUACGGGAGGCAGCAGUGGGGAAUCUUGGACAAUGGGCGAAAGCCUGAUCCAGCGAUGCCGCGUGAGUGAUGAAGGCCUUCGGGUUGUAAAACUCUUUUACCCGGGAAGAUAAUGACUGUACCGGGAGAAUAAGCUCCGGCUAACUUCGUGCCAGCAGCCGC